rnacentral:rRNA from 1 species
CUUGCUCCCUGAUGUUAGCGGCGGACGGGUGAGUAACACGUGGGUAACCUGCCUGUAAGACUGGGAUAACUCCGGGAAACCGGGGCUAAUACCGGAUGGUUGUUUGAACCGCAUGGUUCAAACAUAAAAGGUGGCUUCGGCUACCACUUACAGAUGGACCCGCGGCGCAUUAGCUAGUUGGUGAGGUAACGGCUCACCAAGGCAACGAUGCGUAGCCGACCUGAGAGGGUGAUCGGCCACACUGGGACUGAGACACGGCCCAGACUCCUACGGGAGGCAGCAGUAGGGAAUCUUCCGCAAUGGACGAAAGUCUGACGGAGCAACGCCGCGUGAGUGAUGAAGGUUUUCGGAUCGUAAAGCUCUGUUGUUAGGGAAGAACAAGUACCGUUCGAAUAGGGCGGUACCUUGACGGUACCUAACCAGAAAGCCACGGCUAACUACGUGCCAGCAGCCGCGGUAAUACGUAGGUGGCAAGCGUUGUCCGGAAUUAUUGGGCGUAAAGGGCUCGCAGGCGGUUUCUUAAGUCUGAUGUGAAAGCCCCCGGCUCAACCGGGGAGGGUCAUUGGAAACUGGGGAACUUGAGUGCAGAAGAGGAG